UACGGAGGUGGCAAGCGUUACUCGGAAUCAUUGGGUGUAAAGGGCAAGUAGGCGGCUUGAUAAGUGAGGGGUGAAAUCUUCCGACUCAAUCGGAAAAUUGCCUUUCAAACUAUCUGGCUUGAGGCAGGGAGAGGGAAAUGGAAUUCUCGGUGUAAGGGUGAAAUCUGUAGAUAUCGAGAAGAACACCAGCGGCGAAGGCGAUUUCCUGGCCCUGUUCUGACGCUCAAUUGCGAAAGCUAGGGGAGCAAACAGA
rnacentral:rRNA from 1 species